UACGGGGGGAGCAAGCGUUGUUCGGAUUUACUGGGCGUAAAGGGCGCGUAGGCGGCCACCGCAAGUCGGUUGUGAAAUCUCCGGGCUUAACCCGGAAAGGUCAAUCGAUACUGCGGGGCUAGAGUGCAGAAGGGGCAACUGGAAUUCUCGGUGUAGCGGUGAAAUGCGUAGAUAUCGAGAGGAACACCUGCGGCGAAGGCGGGUUGCUGGGCUGACACUGACGCUGAAGCGCGAAAGCGUGGGGAGCAAACAGG
rnacentral:rRNA from 1 species